GAGGAAUAUUGCGCAAUGGUCGCAAGACUGACGCAGCAACGCCGCGUGAGGGAUGAAGUACUUCGGUAUGUAAACCUCUGUUAGAAGGGAAGAACGGGUGGAUGUCGAACAGGCAUUCAUCGUGACGGUACCUUCAGAGAAAGCCCCGGCUGACUCCGUGCCAGCAGCCGCGGUAAUACGGGGGGGGCAAGCGUUGUCCGGAAUUAUUGGGCGUAAAGGGCGCGUAGGUGGGACAGCAAGUCUGGGGUGCAAUCUUACGGCUUAACUGUAAGGUUGCCCUGGAUACUACUGUUCUUGAGUACGGAAGAGGGUAGUGGAAGUCCUGGUGUAGCGGUGAAAUGCGUAGAUAUCAGGAAGAACACCGGUGGCGAAGGCGGCUACCUGGUCCGAUACUGACACUGAGGCGCGAAAGUGCGGGGAGCAAACAG
rnacentral:rRNA from 1 species